AAAACAUUUCUAGUCAAUUAUUACAGGAGCUAAAUUUGUUCACUAAGAUUAAUCUAAUAUGGGAUUGAAAUCGUGGUGGAAUAGAUUUAGCUCUAAAUUUCAUAAAAGUAUGCGAGUUGUAUAAAAACAGAAACUCUUGACAUUACCUAAUGAAACCGAAACCACAACGUGAGAAUGGCUUCUGAUGGUCCCUCGCGUAAAACAGGAUAUAAUUUCCAUCUACAGCAGCAACAAUGAACCAUCAUAAUUAUUCAAAGAUGUACUUUAUGAAGAAUCGUCUAACUUUCAAAGGAAUCUUUAAACACUAGCAAUAAAAAAUUUACAUAAAAUUAAUAUUUAGUUAUGUUACGAAGUAACUUUCUUCAUUACUUACACGAAAUUUUAACUAGAAAUUAAACAAUUAUAAACAGAAUACGAUUUUGAUCUGAUAUUUUAAUAUAUAAUAUUUAAUUACACCACUUAUUAAU
rnacentral:misc_RNA from 1 species